GUUAUAACUCAUCACUUCUCCUGUCAAAAGCAGAAACAUCGAUGGCAGCAGCACAUUUGGCCAUGAGUGGUGUCACAACUGCCAAAGGCUCAUUCAUGAUUUUGACUCUGCUUUGUCUGGUCCAUUUUUCAAGUUCAAUGAUAAACAACGAUCAACUGGAGGAACUGAAAGCAAACAUUCAAAAACUCCAACAAGAAACAAUGAGAAAGAAGGCUGAAUAUAUUUUAGACAGAGCCUACGUUCCAGCUAUUCUUGAUGAUAUUGGACACUACAUGGAUCCUUUGUCCGAAUUUCUGAAGUCAUUGAACGUUUCUACAUUGCGACUUACACCAGUGCUGGAUUUAAUGGAUGACCUAAAGACUUUCCUGGAAGCCAGCAAGAAGUACAUAAAUAAAUACUUUGAGACAAUAGCUGAAGAAAUCAAGGACAGUGAAGAUAAACUAAGCAGUGUGAUGGCAAUAUUAACACAUCUAGAAAAGCAUAAAGAUGAACUGUAAGAUAUUAGUCGGCGUCUGUCUCAAGUAUUAAAUGUUCUGUAUUUCUAAAACUUCUCUUUCAUACUGUGCAGGUUUUGAGUCAAGAAAUAACUGUGUCAUAUUUUCUUUUCAUUUUCUUUGUUCUAAUUGAGUUUAAAUGCAAACACAAGACACAGAACUGAGAUUGUGUCUAAGUAACCAUAUUAAGACUGGCAAUUGUUAAUGAUUUAAAUGAUGAAAGCCUUUUAAUGUGAAUAAAGACAUUAAAACUUUUAUUAUUUAUGUGUAGGUCCUGUCUUGUUAUAUGUACCUAAAUGUUGUGCAUCUGCACUUUAUUGUUGUCUAUGUCUACGCAUGGGACAGUGUGAAACGUAAUUUCAAUUCCUUUGUAUGGCAAGUAGAUCUGAAGAAAUUGACAAAUAAAACUGACUUUGAC
ensembl:lncRNA